AGUGAACGCUGGCGGCAGGCUUAACACAUGCAAGUCGAACGCACCGCAAGGUGAGUGGCAGACGGGUGAGUAACGCGUGGGAACCUUCCCUUUGGUUCAGGAUAGCUCCGGGAAACUGGAAUUAAUACUGGAUAAGAUCUACGGAUGAAAGAUUUAUCGCCGAAGGAUGGGCCCGCGUAAGAUUAGCUAGUUGGUGAGGUGAUGGCUCACCAAGGCAAUGAUCUUUAGCUGUCUGAGAGGAUGAUCAGCCACACUGGAACUGAGACACGGUCCAGACUCCUACGGGAGGCAGCAGUGAGGAAUAUUGGACAAUGGGCGCAAGCCUGAUCCAGCCAUGCCGCGUGAGUGACGAAGGCCCUAGGGUUGUAAAACUCUUUUAGUGGGGAAAAUAAUGAUGGUACCCACAGAAAAAGCUCCGGCUAACUUCGUGCCAGCCGCCGCGGUAA
rnacentral:rRNA from 1 species